rnacentral:rRNA from 1 species
UACGGAGGGGGCUAGCGUUGUUCGGAAUUACUGGGCGUAAAGCGCACGUAGGCGGCUUUGUAAGUUAGAGGUGAAAGCCCGGGGCUCAACUCCGGAAUUGCCUUUAAGACUGCAUCGCUAGAAUUGUGGAGAGGUAAGUGGAAUUCCGAGUGUAGAGGUGAAAUUCGUAGAUAUUCGGAGGAACACCAGUGGCGAAGGCGGCUCACUGGCUCGACACUGACGCUGAGGUGCGAAAGCGUGGGGAGCAAACAGG